CUCUCUCUCUCUCUCUCUUUCUCUCUAAUAACUCUAACAGCAUACUUGCAAGAAACCUCUCCGGUUGCAAUAUUGCCGCAUGCUUAUAUUGUAGUGGUCGUUGAUUAGAAAAAUAUUGAUGAAUAUUGACGAGGACAUGAUGGCCAGUACUGAGUCAUAUCGCCCAACAUCCACCGGAGAAACGUACUCAGUGUCUCCACCACGGCAAAUGGAUCUGACUGAAUCUAGCUCACCUGAGGAUUUUCAAGUAUAUGAACCCAGGAAAUUUACAUUUGAAGAACUAGCAAUUGCAACUCGUCAUUUCUCCAACAACGAACUCCUUGGCGUUGGUGAUUUUGGUGAUGUCUAU
rnacentral:misc_RNA from 1 species